AUUUAUAUAGCUUAAAUUAGAGCGUAGUAUUGAAGAUACUAAAGUAAUACAAUUAUUUAUAAAUA
rnacentral:tRNA from 1 species